rnacentral:rRNA from 1 species
GAUGAACGCUAGCGGGAGGCCUAACACAUGCAAGCCGAGCGGUAGAGUUUCUUCGGAAACUUGAGAGCGGCGCACGGGUGCGUAACACGUGUGCAACCUACCUUUAUCUGGGGGAUAGCCUUUCGAAAGGAAGAUUAAUACCCCAUAAUAUAAUGAUUGGCAUCCAUUAUUAUUGAAAACUCCGGUGGAUAGAGAUGGGCACGCGCAAGAUUAGAUAGUUGGUGAGGUAACGGCUCACCAAGUCAAUGAUCUUUAGGGGUCCUGAGAGGGAGAUCCCCCACACUGGUACUGAGACACGGACCAGACUCCUACGGGAGGCAGCAGUGAGGAAUAUUGGACAAUGGGUGAGAGCCUGAUCCAGCCAUCCCGCGUGAAGGAUGACGGUCCUAUGGAUUGUAAACUUCUUUUGUACAGGGAUAAACCUACCCUCGUGAGGGUAGCUGAAGGUACUGUACGAAUAAGCACCGGCUAACUCCGUG